UACGAAGGGGGCUAGCGUUGCUCGGAAUCACUGGGCGUAAAGGGUGCGUAGGCGGGUCUUUAAGUCAGGGGUGAAAUCCUGGAGCUCAACUCCAGAACUGCCUUUGAUACUGAGGAGCUCGAGUCCGGGAGAGGUGAGUGGAACUCCGAGUGUAGAGGUGAAAUUCGUAGAUAUUCGGAAGAACACCAGUGGCGAAGGCGGCUCACUGGCCCGGUACUGACGCUGAGGUGCGAAAGCUAGGGUAGCAAACGGG
rnacentral:rRNA from 1 species